UUAUAAAACUGAGGGCGGGGCCAGGUCAAUGGCCUUGGAGGGCCGCAUCCGGCCCCCGGACCUUAGUUUGGGGACCCCUGAUCUAGAUGGUCUCAUAGGACCAUAGAUAAGGAAAGGGAUCCUCAAAGACCAUCUAGAUGGUUUCAUAAGACCAUAGGGUUGUUGUAUGUUUUCCCGUCUGUCUGGCCAUGUUCCAGAAGUAUUCUCUCCUGACAUUUCGCCCACAUUUAUGGCAGGCAUCUUCAGAGGUUGUGCGGUAUUUUCAACUUAUUUUUCUGACUACUUCUUCAAAACACCAUCCCUUAACGUACUUCUUGACUCUUUAUUUACUGACUAGUAAGUUAUCAUGACCUUCCAGCUAGCUCCUUCCCUUCCUUAAUUGACUUCAACUCCCAUAGAAUGUUCAGUUUUUUUCUUCCAAUUGUCAUCCUUGACUCUCAUCUUUCACAUCUUGGCACCCGCUCAUUUGCAUAUGACCAAUCAGGUCACCCCUAUGCAAAAUAUUUUAUUGAUUUAUUUUAUUUACAGUAUUUAUAUUCCGCCCUUCUUUCUCACCCCGAAGGGGACUCAGGGCGGAUCACAGUGUACAUAUACAUGGCAAACAUUCAAUGCCAUAUAACAUAGAACAGAGACAGAGGCAGACACAGAGGUAAUUUAAACCUUCUCCAGCUUCCAGCUUCCUGAGGUUAUGCUUGAUUCUGGCCACAGGGGGAGCAGUUGCUUCAUCAUCCACUGUGACAGCAACUUCCUCAUUCCAACGACGGCUGGAUUAUUUUUAUGGUAUCACAAAAUCACAAGUCGAACACUUCCCAAGUGUCUAGGACUCUGUGAUGUAUUUUCGGAUGAUGCGUGCAGAUCCCAGCAGGGUGGCCUUUUGCAGUUGGCAGAUCGUGAUUUUGUCAAUGUCUAUUGUUUCCAAAUGCCGACUGAGAUCUUUUGGCACGGCACCCAGCGUGCCCAUCACCACCGGGACCACCUGCACUGGUUUCUGCCAGAGUCUUUGAAGUUCAAUCUUGAGGUCCUGAUAGCGGCUGAGUUUUUCCUGUUGUUUUUCGUCAAUGCGACUGUCACCUGGGAUGGCGACAUCAAUGAUCCAAACCUUUUUCUUUUCCACAACUGUGAUGUCUGGUGUGUUGUGUUCCAGAACUUUGUCAGUCUGGAUUCGGAAGUCCCACAGUAUCUUUGCGUGUUCAUUUUCCACAACCUUUGCAGGUUUGUGAUCCCACCAGUUCUUUGCUGCUGGCAGGUGGUACUUGAGGCAUAA
rnacentral:lncRNA from 1 species